GGUUGUGAGGUCAAUUUGAUGGUGACAUCGGUCUCCCCAUUGAUUCUGGGGUUUAUCAGACUGAUCUAAGCUGGACAGGCAAGGGUUCCUUUUUUCUCCAUCCCUGCUUUAUAUGCACACUCAACAGAAAAAGACAACCUUCCCUGACAGGGGUGUUCUAUUCUUGUUUUCAAGGGUAAAGGUGGCUUCUUCAGUCUGGAAAGAUUUAUCAUGCCAGCUGAUGAACGAGUCCUUUACCCGAUUGAAACAACAAAAACCACUGCGUUAGUGUGUUAGUCAUUGAAGCACUGGAG
rnacentral:snRNA from 1 species